UACAGAGGGUGCGAGCGUUGUCCGGAAUCACUGGGCGUAAAGGGCGCGUAGGCGGUCCGGUAAGCGUGCGGUGAAAGCCCGGGGCUCAACCCCGGGUCGGCCGUGCGAACUGCGGGACUGGAGCUUGUCAGAGGCAGGCGGAAUUCCGGGUGUAGCGGUGGAAUGCGUAGAGAUCUCCAAGAACACCAGUUGCGAAGGCGGCUGACUGGACCCAUAUUGACGCUGAGGCUCGAAAGCAUGGGGAGCAAACAGG
rnacentral:rRNA from 1 species